rnacentral:rRNA from 1 species
GAUGAACGCUGGCGGCGUGCCUAAUACAUGCAAGUCGAGCGAACAGACGAGGAGCUUGCUCCUCUGACGUUAGCGGCGGACGGGUGAGUAACACGUGGAUAACCUACCUAUAAGACUGGGAUAACUUCGGAAACCGGAGCUAAUACCCGAUAAUAUAUUGAACCGCAUGGUUCAAUAGUGAAAGACGGUUUUGCUGUCACUUAUAGAUGGAUCCGCGCCGCAUUAGCUAGUUGGUAAGGUAACGGCUUACCAAGGCAACGAUGCGUAGCCGACCGGAGAGGGGGAUCGCCACCAUCGGAACUGAGACCGGGUCCAGAACCCUAAGGGAGGGAGGAGGAGGGAAUUUUCCGAAAGGGGGGAAAGCCGGACGGAGCAACGCCGGGUGAGUGAUGAAGGUUUUCGGAUCGUAAAACUCUGUUAUUAGGGAAAAAAAAAUGUGUAAGUAACUAUGCACGUUUUGACGGUACCUAAUCAGAAAGCCCCGGCUAACUACGU